UUAUUAUUAUUCUUUUUUUUAAGGCUUUAUUAUUUAUAAAUAUUUAUUAAUAAUGUGUUGAGUCAAAAGGGAUAUAAUUAUAAUUUUAUUUAUAAUGUGUGCGCGACAAUGUGCGUAAGUGAUACAUUUUUCUCUCUUACUCUUUUUAAAAUUAUUUAUAGUAUAUGAAUACAAAGAACUCGCAGUUACGCAGUUAUUCAGUUACGUAUUAUACACACACAUAAGUAUACACACUAUCAAACUGUCUCAAUUUUAUUAGGGCAGGCAAUUCCAAUCAAUGACUACUAAUUAUUCUAGAGCUACUCGGCUCUCGCACUACUAUACACCACAUUGAUGUAGUGUUUACAUGUUUUCAAGUAGGUUUAACUAUUGAUCUCAGCAAUUUAUCUCCAUAUUUUAUACAGGAAUGCACGGAGUUCCAUAAACUAUAUUAAAAUAUAAUUUUAUUAUUGUAAAGCAUUAAUAAUAUAAUCGUACAAAUAUAUUUUCUAAUUUAUUUUAGCAUGAUAAUUUAAUCAAUUAAACAUAUUAUUAUCUACAGAACACGUUUAAUGUUUUGAUUACUUGUUUUUUCAAUUUAUUAAUUUUAAUUUAUUUUUAUAUUCAAGUCAUUUAACUGAUUAUGCAUAUUAUCUUGACUCUUUUCAUUAAGCAAAGAAAAAAAAAGAGACGGAAGAGAGUUUUCACAGUUUGCCACAUUCACACCCAAUGAUCACUCAUCGUACCUGGUUAAGCAAUCGCCAACGAUCCACAUCAGAAUGUGCAUACAGAAUCGACGAUGAAUCAAUUGACAAUUAUUAUUGUAGAUAUAUAUUUGAGAUAUGACAACGGCUGAACGGCUUGGUGCUUUGAACGGUCUUGCGGGAUUUGAAGUAUACAUCACUGCGGUCUAACUACAACUGACGAACUUAAUCUUGAAACUUAAAUAAUAAAAAUACAUUAAAACACAUCCAAUAAUAAUAAUAACCAAUAGAAAAAUAGUAUACUAAUCAGUAGCGCUCUGAUUGGCUGUAUGAUGCGAAGACCCACAAAAUGCCAAAUGUUAUUGUCUAAUAAUCAUUAUUAUUGUUAUUCAUUUAACGAUGCUAUAAUAUUAUUAUAUAAUAUAUUUCCCAGCUGUAAGAAUAAUAAUAUUAAUGUAUAAGGUACGUACACUUUGUAGCAUUUUAUGAUCGAAAUAACUAUGAGACAAAUAAACAGCGUUACAAUUAUUUGCAAACAACUAUAUCCACGAAGGCGGAGUAUGCGGGCGAAAACUAGUACUUAAUAUUUUAUAAAUUGUAACUUGAGCCAUUUAUUAUAAUAUCAGAUAGCUAUUAAAAACGUAUUGUUUAAUAACAUUAAAUAUAUAUAUAUAUAUAUAAUAUAAUACAUCAUAAUAUUUCUGAAAAAAUCAAUGAAUAGGUACAUAAUUUAAUGUAAACUAUGCACUGAAAAUGAUUUAUGUUAUCGAGUGUUUAUCUAAAAUAAAAAUUUCUUACUGUUUUUCUACUAUAAUUGCAUUAGUUCAAAAAUAUUUUAGUGCAGCCGGUAAUAAAUAUUUGUAUGUAGAUAACUCUGUUACGACAUUUCUUUGAAUUUUGACCUGUAUACCAAAUGCCAAAUGUAUUAUACAAUUUGGGUAAUUUUACAUCAUUAAAUUACAUUUUUAUUUGAAUAUAUUAUUAUAUCAGACUAUGACGUAUACUCCGUAUAUUAUUAUAUUUGAUAUUUUAAUAUUAAAAUAUUCUAUUGCGUUUAUUAGUCAAUGAAAGUUAAUGCUAUGUGUGAGAAUUAGACAAUUGUACGUUUAUAUUGGGUAUAUUAUA